rnacentral:lncRNA from 1 species
UAGUUGUCUUCACAACUGCGAAAUCAACUGCGUUAAUAAAAUACGCUCUUCUCUCUCACACGGACGUGUAAAGCAAGUAAUUGCACUCCAGCCGUCAGUCUGUCCAAGGACUCAGUUUGGAAGAUGAUAGGAGAUGGCUGAAGGUGUACUGUGAAGCCUUUUGCUGUGGUCUGACUGUACAGAUCCCAGAACCCAUUCCAGCUGCAGAUACAGUGUGUGCUUCUCAAGUAAAUGGGCACACUGGGAGCCUACAGACUUACUCAGGGGGCCUCUUGCAGUACCUGUAGAAGAAAAGACCAGGAGAUGCUUUGUGUCCUGUGGGGAUAGCUGUGCUACACCUCUAUCCAGCUGAGCCUUGGAACUUCCUCUUCGGACAAACUCUUUGACAGAAGGUACUGUGUCUUCCAGCAAUGACUUUGUGUGCCUUGAGGACUCAGAUGGCUUUCAAAAUAGAAACAGUCAGCUUCAGUUGAAUGUGAUGAUCUUUUAGGUCCCUUCCAAUGGAAUUGUUUUAUUCUAUUCUGUGCUAGAAAU